GUCCCUGUAGUGUAGUGGCCGAGCACAACCGGCUUUCGCCCGGUUAGCGUGGGUUCGAAUCCCGCCAGGGAUGCCA
rnacentral:tRNA from 1 species